rnacentral:rRNA from 1 species
UCCUACGGGAGGCAGCAGUGAGGAAUAUUGGUCAAUGGAGGCAACUCUGAACCAGCCAUGCCGCGUGAAGGAUGACGGCCCUAUGGGUUGUAAACUUCUUUUAUAGAGGAAGAAACUUGUCUACGUGUAGAUAACUGACGGUACUCUUAGAAUAAGGAUCGGCUAACUCCGUGCCAGCAGCCGCGGUAAUACGGAGGAUCCAAGCGUUAUCCGGAUUCAUUGGGUUUAAAGGGUCCGUAGGCGGGUCUUUAAGUCAGUGGUGAAAGCCGACAGCUCAACUGUCGAACUGCCAUUGAUACUGGAGACCUUGAGUACAAAUGAAGUAGGCGGAAUGAGUCAUGUAGCGGUGAAAUGCAUAGAUAUGACUCAGAACACCGAUUGCGAAGGCAGCUUACUAACAAUGUAACUGACGCUGAGGGACGAAAGCGUGGGGAGCAAACAGGAUUAGAUACCCUGGUAGUCCACGCCGUAAACGAU